UACGUAGGUGGCAAGCGUUGUCCGGAUUUACUGGGCGUAAAGGAUGCGUAGGCGGACAUUUAAGUCAGAUGUGAAAUACCCGAGCUUAACUUGGGUGCUGCAUUUGAAACUGGGUGUCUAGAGUGCAGGAGAGGUAAGUGGAAUUCCUAGUGUAGCGGUGAAAUGCGUAGAGAUUAGGAAGAACACCAGUGGCGAAGGCGGCCUUCUGGGAUGAGCCUGACGCUCAGACACGAAAGCUAGGGGAGCGAACGGG
rnacentral:rRNA from 1 species